GCUGUUGUUGUUGUUGUUGUUGUUGUAGGGUUUGUUGUUAUUGCUAUUAUUAUUAUUGUUGUUGUUGUUGUUGUUGUUGUUGUUGUUGUUGUUGUUGUUGUUGUUGUUGUUGUUGUUGUUGUUGUUGUUGUUGAUGAUGGACGACGGGGACGUGCUAAACCACUGCUGGACGCCCUCGGUGAUGUUGAUUUUCAUCCAACCGCUGUGUUGGAUGGUCACCUUUUGCGAAGCCAAUAACAACUCGUUCCAAUCCUGCGUCAGACGCUACACGAAUAAUUUGCUAUUAAUAAUCAGCCUUUCUUUGUCUUUUUGUUUGUUUUUUUAAUUGAUUUGAUAUUAAGAAAAAGGGGAGUGGCGAAAGGGAGUGACCUUAUUCGUGGCGUUGGUUAGAGGGCCGUGAACAUCUGACGGAAGAAGCCGAAAGACGUAGAGCGUCGGUGACCUACUGGUGCGUUGCUGUUGGUGGCCUCGCUGGUGACGUUGAUUCGCACUUUUCGGCAGAUGCGACGACGAUGUUAAACUAGUGCCAUUAAUUUGGACGUGAAGCCAUAAAGUGGCCGAUUUAACUCGCAAACUUGGCUCGGGCGCCGUUUCCUGGACUCGUGAAAAUUCGGCCAACACCUGCCCGUUGAGUCUCGGACCUGUUUUGGAAAUGAAACGCUUUUACAAGGCGCUUUAUGUGGAAAUGGUGCAUAAAUCUUAUGGACCGGGCCAUGAUGUGCGAUUCUAUUGAAAUCGCCUGUAGAGCUGGGCUGUAGAUCAAAUCAUAUCCUUGGCAAACAAAACAAAAAGGAAGAAAGAAGAAGAAAAGAGAUCAAAAGAAGAGAUCAAUAAAAUAAAGAAAAAAAGUCAGUUGAUUUCACGUCAUGUCUAGCCCGCAGUCUAGACGAUGCCAGUCUUUUCUCCUUGACGAUUGCGAGAGAAAAGUCGAGAAAAAGAAAGUGACAGACAACAAUGCGCUUAUCAGACAGUAUACGUCUGGCGCAUUUUCUUGUUCUGCGUGAAACGCCGGUAGGAUAUCCAACUGGUCGAAUGUUGCGCGAUCGUCAAUCGAAUCAACGACGCGUACGAUUUCAAAAAGAGAAGAAGAGAAAAGAAGAGAAAAUCGAGACAACGCGAAUGGCAUUUUUCGCUGCAAACGAAUUGCCCAAAAGGCGUGUAAAAGGGCGGGGAGGAGGUAGGUCGUGUUGGGCUUCUACAAGGAGUUAGACGACGUCC